UACGUAGGGGGCAAGCGUUUGUCCGGAAUCAUUGGGCGUAAAGAGCGUGUAGGCGGUUUGGUAGGUCCGCUGUGAAAACUCGAGGCUCAACCUCGAGACGCCGGUGGAAACCAUCAGGCUAGAGUCCGGAAGAGGAGAGUGGAAUUCCUGGUGUAGCGGUGAAAUGCGCAGAUAUCAGGAAGAACACCCGUGGCUAAGGCGGCUCUCUAGUACGGUACUGACGCUGAGACGCGAAAGCGUGGGGAGCGAACAGG
rnacentral:rRNA from 1 species